AUCAAUAAGCGGAGGAAGAGAAACUAACAAGGAUUCCCUCAGUAACGGCGAGCGAAGUGGGAUAGAGCUCGAGCCUAAAAUCCCUGGCAGGUGUUGCCAGUGAAUUGUGGCCGGUAGAGGCAGCUUGUGCCCUGCCCGGCGUCGUCGAAGUUGACCUGGAAAGGCACGUCGGAGAGGGUGAUAGCCCCGUGUGCGGCUUUGCGGGGUGGGGCAGUCGCUGCCUUCUGAGAGUCGGGUUGUUUGGGAAUGCAGCCCAAAGUUGGUGGUAAACUCCAUCUAAAGCUAAAUAGCGGCACGAGACCGAUAGCAAACAAGUACCAUGAGGGAAAGGUGAAAAGUACUUUGAAAAGAGAGUCAAAGAGACCGCGAAACCGUUAGGAGGGAAACGAAUGCAGCCAGAGAGGCCCCGAUCAGGUUCAGGGGAGGCGGGAAGGGCCGCUGCUGGAGUGCGGCUCCGCUCGGAGGGCCUUCAGCUUCUGUCUUUGUCGCUUCCCUGCAUUCCCGUUUAGGGCCAGCCAACGGCAGUUUUCCCUGGCUCAGAAAGGUUGUCGGGCAGGUGCCUUUCCGGUCGCACUUCGGUGCUCUCGGUGAGAACUUAGAGCCGGCGUCUUUGCAGGCUAGGGGGGACUGAGGAGAGUUGCGACCGUUCGCACGGCAGUGCAGGCUCCCUUUGGGGGGCCGGGUCGCUCCUGGCGGUGUGGUCGGAGCGGUGGGGACUGUUCGCAGUGCUCGCCGACUCGCGUCUGCUCCGGCGGGAGGUCGGCUACGACUUGCGCUGCGGCCGUUGGCUUGCGGAUGGCUUCAUCCGACCCGUCUUGAAACACGGACCAAGGAGUGCAACAUGCGUGCGAGUCUCUGGGUUUGUAAACCCGUGGGCGGAAUGAGAGUGAAGGCGGGCUCGUCCCGCUGAGGCGAGAGCCGCCUCUCCCGUGGCGGCCCAUCGUCGACCGAUCCCAGGCUACGCUGUGGCGGGAUUCGAGUGAGAGCGUGCCUGUUGCGACCCGAAAGAUGGUGAACUAUGCCUGAAUGGGGCGAAGCCAGAGGAAACUCUGGUGGAAGCCCGCAGCGGUUCUGACGUGCAAAUCGAUCGUCAAAUUUGGGUAUAGGGGCGAAAGACUAAUCGAACCAUCUAGUAGCUGGUUCCCUCCGAAGUUUCCCUCAGGAUAGCUGGAGCCCGGUGCAGUUUUAUCAGGUAAAGCGAAUGAUUAGAGGUCUUGGGGUUGAAACAACCUCAACCUAUUCUCAAACUUUAAAUGGGUAAGAAGCUCGGCUUGCUCGGUUGAAGUCGGGCCAGGAAUGCCGGGGCUCCUAGUGGGCCAUUUUUGGUAAGCAGAACUGGCGAUGCGGGAUGAACCGAACGCCGGGUUAAGGUGCCCGAAUCGACGCUCAUCAGAAACCAUGAAAGGUGUUGGUUGAUCUAGACAGCAGGACGGUGGCCAUGGAAGUCGGAAUCCGCUAAGGAGUG
rnacentral:rRNA from 1 species